rnacentral:rRNA from 1 species
GAUGAACGCUAGCUACAGGCUUAACACAUGCAAGUCGCAGGGUAACAUGAGGAAAGCUUGCUUUCCUUGAUGACGACUGGCGCACGGGUGAGUAACGCGUAUCCAACCUUCCCAUAACUACGGGAUAACCCGUUGAAAGACGGCCUAAUACCGUAUGAUAUCGUUUGCUGACAUCAAAUAACGAUUAAAGGUUUAGCGGUUAUGGAUGGGGAUGCGUCUGAUUAGCUUGUUGGCGGGGUAACGGCCCACCAAGGCGACGAUCAGUAGGGGUUCUGAGAGGAAGGUCCCCCACAUUGUAACUGAGACACGGUCCAAACUCCUACGGGAGGCAGCAGUGAGGAAUAUUGGUCAAUGGGCGAGAGCCUGAACCAGCCAAGUAGCGUGCAGGAUGACGGCCCUAUGGGUUGUAAACUGCUUUUAUGUGGGGAUAAAGUGCGUGACGUGUCAUGCAUUGCAGGUACCACAUGAAUAAGGACCGGCUAAUUCCGUGCCAGCAGCCGCGGUAAUACGGAAGGUCCGGGCGUUAUCCGGAUUUAUUGGGUUUAAAGGGAGCGUAGGCUGUCUAUUAAGCGUGUUGUGAAAUAUACCGGCUCAACCGGUGGCUUGCAGCGCGAACUGGUCGACUUGAGUAUGCAGGAAGUAGGCGGAAUUCAUGGUGUAGCGGUGAAAUGCUUAGAUAUCAUGACGAACUCCGAUUGCGCAGGCAGCUUACUGUAGCAUAACUGACGCUGAUGCUCGAAAGUGCGGAUAUCAAACAGG